rnacentral:rRNA from 1 species
ACGCACGCUGGCGGCGUGCUUAACACAUGCAAGUCGAACGCUGAAGCUCAGCUUUUGUUGGGUGGAUGAGUGGCGAACGGGUGAGUAACACGUGAGUAACCUGCCCCCUUCUUUGGGAUAACGCCCGGAAACGGGUGCUAAUACUGGAUAUUCACUGGUCUUCGCAUGGGGGUUGGUGGAAAGGGUUUUUCUGGUGGGGGAUGGGCUCGCGGCCUAUCAGCUUGUUGGUGGGGUGAUGGCCUACCAAGGCUUUGACGGGUAGCCGGCCUGAGAGGGUGACCGGUCACAUUGGGACGGAGAUACGGCCCAGACUCCUACGGGAGGCAGCAGUGGGGAAUAUUGCACAAUGGGCGCAAGCCUGAUGCAGCGACGCCGCGUGAGGGAUGGAGGCCUUCGGGUUGUGAACCUCUUUCGCUCAUGGUCAAGCCGCAACAAUGGUUGUGGUGAGGGUAGUGGGUAAAGAAGCGCCGGCUAACUACGUG